UACGGAGGAUGCAAGCGUUAUCCGGAAUGAUUGGGCGUAAAGCGUCUGUAGGUGGUUUAUUAAGUCUACUGUUAAAGAUCAGGGCUUAACCCUGAGCCGGCAGUGGAAACUAAUAAGCUUGAGUACGGUAGGGGCAGAGGGAAGUUCCCGGAUGUAGCGGUGGAAAUGACGUAGAGAUGUGGAGGAACACCGAUGGCGAAGGCAGCCCCUGGGUUAACACCUGACGCUCAGGCACGAAAGCGUGGGGAGCAA
rnacentral:rRNA from 1 species